AAGCAACGCUGGAGAGCGAGUUGUCCUCGGACGGCUCCACCGAAGGGGAAAACUGCAAAUCGCGGCCAAUCUCUCAGGUUCCACGACAGCGCGGG
rnacentral:ncRNA from 1 species